GGUGUGGUCUUCGGUCCGAAGGCGUAGGUGCGGGGAGUGGGUGCGGCAGGAGUUGGGAUGAUCGUUAACAUUUAGACUGGAGCUAUUUCCCUGGAGGUGCACCCUUGGGAAGGGCCUGACUGUGUGAAGAGUGAACAGCAGUCCUCCGCCCCCUUCUGGGCUCGCGGUAAAGUGGUGGCUCCUGUGUCCCCGCUGUUCCGCCUGUGCACUGGCCAACUUUUUAAAGCCGUACCCCAAAGUGCUGUCAUCCAGCAAAACCGAGCCCGAAGAGACGGAGCGAGCUCCUUUCGCCGUGGGGACAGUCCAAAGUGAAGUCAAACUGAGUAUUUACCUGGGCCCCAGAUGAGACCACCCUAAAGGAGCUGGCCGAGACCCUGCAACAGAAGAACAUUGACCACAUGCUGUGGCUUGAGCAACCAGAGAAUAUCACCACUUGUAUUGCUCUUCGGCCCUACCCCAAGGAAGAAGUGGGCCAGUAUUUGAAGAAGUUCCGAUUGUUCAAGUAACUGCUGCCUUGAUGCGUUUGAAUACCAGCUGGAUCCAACAGCAGGCCACCCAUUCCAAAGUAUCAUGUGCUCCUUGCAGUGUCAGCUUGCUCCCGUCUUUCAGUUGUGACAGUUUCUUGAGGGUUAAGCACAUGUUCAUAUUAAAGUUGUCAUUAAUAAC
rnacentral:sRNA from 1 species